UACAGAGGUGGCAAGCGUUGUUCGGAAUUACUGGGCGUAAAGGGCGAGUAGGUGGCCAUCUAAGUCAGACGUGAAAUCCCUCGGCUUAACCGAGGAACUGCGUCCGAUACUGAAAGGCUUGAAUCCGGGAGAGGGAUGUGGAAUUCCAGGUGUAGCGGUGAAAUGCGUAGAUAUCUGGAGGAACACCGGUGGCGAAGGCGGCAUCCUGGACCGGUAUUGACGCUGAGGCGCGAAAGCUAGGGGAGCAAACGGG
rnacentral:rRNA from 1 species